GCUGGGCAUGGUGGCGUGUGCCUGUAGUCCCAGCUACUCGGGAGGCUGAGGCGGGAGGAUCACUGGAGCCCAGGAAGUGGAGGCUGCAGUGAGCCACUAUCAUGCCACUGCACUCCAGCCUGAGCGACAGAGGGAGACCCUGUCUCAA
rnacentral:SRP_RNA from 1 species